GUCCUAAAAAUUUACAAGGCUGAUUUAACUAAAGCCUAACAACAAACCCCAUUAAACCCGAAGAUAGCGGGCUUA
rnacentral:rRNA from 1 species